rnacentral:misc_RNA from 1 species
GUGAAUCUUCAAAGUCGGCUCAUCGGAUUGUGCUGGUGGAGACACAUGUGCACGUCUGCGAGUCGCAAAUCCACACACCUGUGCACCUAUGACUCUGAGUGCCGCUUUGCAUGGCCCCUUUGACCGGGCCUGGCACUCGAGUACUUUCACACACUCGAAUGUAAUGGAAUGUCUUGUUGUGCAAACUGUACAAAACAAAAA